AUUGAACGCUGGCGGCAGGCCUAACACAUGCAAGUCGAACGAGUGGCGGACGGUUGAGUAAUGUCUGGGAAACUGCCUGAUGGAGGGGGAUAACUACUGGAAACGGUAGCUAAUACCGCAUACCAUCGGAUGUUCCCAGAUGGGAUUAGCUAGUAGGUGGGGUAAAGGCUCACCUAGGCGACGAUCCCUCGCUGGUCUGAGAGGAUGACAGGCCCCAGUGGAACUGGGACACGGGCCAGACUGCGACGGGGGGCCGGAGUGGGGAAUAUUGGAAAAUGGGCGUAAGGCAGAUGCAGCAAUGCCGCGUGUAUGAAGAAGGCCUUGGGGUUGGAAAGUACUUGCAGCGGGGAGGCGUUACCCGCAGAAGAAGCACCGGCUAACUCCGUGCCAGCAGCCGCGGUAAUUC
rnacentral:rRNA from 1 species